GACAGAGGUGCCAAGCGUUAGGCGGAAUCAUUGGGCGUAAAGAGCGUGUAGGCGGCCCGGUAAGUCCGCUGUGAAAGUCAAAGGCUCAACCUUUGAAUGUCAGCGGAUACUGCCGGGCUAGAGUCCGGAAGAGGCGAGUGGAACUCCUGGUGUAGCGGUGGAAUGCGCAGAUAUCAGGAAGAACACCAACGGCGAAGGCAGCUCGCUGGGACGGUACUGACGCUGAGACGCGAAAGCGUGGGGAGCGAACAGG
rnacentral:rRNA from 1 species